GAUGAACGCUGGCGGCGUGCCUAAUACAUGCAAGUCGAGCGAAUGGAGUAAGAGCUUGCUCUUAUGAAGUUAGCGGCGGACGGGUGAGUAACACGUGGGUAACCUGCCCAUAAGACUGGGAUAACUACGGGAAACCGGGGCUAAUAGCGGCGAAUAUUUUGAAACGCAUGGUUCGAAAUUGAAAGGCGGCUUCGGCUGUCACUGAUGGAUGGACCCGCGUCGCAUUAGCUAGUUGGUGAGGUAAAGGCUCACCAAGGCAACGAUGCGUAGCCGACCUGAGAGGGAGGUCGGCCACACUGGGACUGAGACACGGCCCAGACUCCUACGGGAGGCAGCAGUAGGGAAUCUUCCGCAAUGGACGAAAGUCUGACGGAGCAACGCCGCGUGAGUGAUGAAGGCUUUCGGGUCGUAAAACUCUGUUGUUAGGGAAGAACAAGUGCUAGUUGAAUAAGCUGGCACCUUGACGGUACCUAACCAGAAAGCCACGGCUAACUACGUGCCAGCCGCCGCGGUAA
rnacentral:rRNA from 1 species